rnacentral:rRNA from 1 species
GUGGGGAAUAUUGGACAAUGGGCGAAAGCCUGAUCCAGCCAUGCCGCGUGUGUGAAGAAGGUCUUCGGAUUGUAAAGCACUUUAAGUUGGGAGGAAGGGCAGUAAGUUAAUACCUUGCUGUUUUGACGUUACCGACAGAAUAAGCACCGGCUAACUUCGUGCCAGCAGCCGCGGUAAUACGAAGGGUGCAAGCGUUAAUCGGAAUUACUGGGCGUAAAGCGCGCGUAGGUGGUUUUGUAAGUUGGAGGUGAAAUCCCCGGGCUCAACCUGGGAACUGCCUCCAAAACUGCAUGACUAGAGUACGGUAGAGGGUAGUGGAAGUGCCUGUGUAGCGGUGAAAUGCGUAGAUAUAGGAAGGAACACCAGUGGCGAAGGCGACUACCUGGACUGAUACUGACACUGAGGUGCGAAAGCGUGGGGAGCAAACAGGAUUAGAAACCCUGGUAGUCC